rnacentral:tRNA from 1 species
GGAGAGGUGGCCGAGUGGCUGAAGGCGCUCCCCUGCUAAGGGAGUAUACGGUGAUCCCGUAUCGAGGGUUCGAAUCCCUUCCUCUCCGCCA